rnacentral:rRNA from 1 species
GUCUAUGGCCAUGCCACCCUGAACAUGCCCGAUCUCAUCUGAUCUCAGAAGUCUUGGGCAGACUUGGCCAUCUGGGGGGGCAGUACUCUUAACCUUGAGUUUGGUUAACUUGGUGGAGGGACUGUGAGUCAUGGCCA